GACGAACGCUGGCGGCGUGCUUAACACAUGCAAGUCGAACGAUGAAGCUGGAGCUUGCUCUAGCGGAUUAGUGGCGAACGGGUGAGUAACACGUGAGCAAUCUGCCCUUGACUCUGGGAUAACUGCGGGAAACUGUAGCUAAUACCGGAUACUUUCACCGGGGGGCAUCCUCUGGUGAUGAAAGAAUUUCGGUCAAGGAUGAGCUCGCGGCCUAUCAGCUUGUUGGUGAGGUAACGGCUCACCAAGGCGACGACGGGUAACCGGCCUGAGAGGGGGGCCGGUCACACUGGGACUGAGACACGGCCCAGACUCCGACGGGAGGCAGCAGUGGGGAAUAUUGAACAAUGGGCGCAAGCCUGAUGCAGCAACGCCGCGUGAGGGAUGAAGGCCUUCGGGUUGUAAACCUCUUUUAGCAGGGAAGAAGCGAAAGUGACGGUACCUGCAGAAAAAGCACCGGCUAACUACGUGCCAGCCGCCGCGGUAA
rnacentral:rRNA from 1 species